UACGGGGGGAGCAAGCGUUGUUCGGAAUCACUGGGCGUAAAGGGCGCGUAGGCGGCCCGCACAAGUCUGCGGUGAAAACCCCCGGCUUAACCGGGGGCCGGCCGUGGAAACUGUCGGGCUGGAGGCUGGGAGAGGGCAGCGGAAUUCCCGGUGUAGCGGUGAAAUGCGUAGAGAUCGGGAGGAACACCGGCGGCGAAGGCGGCUGCCUGGACCAGUCCUGACGCUGAGGCGCGAAAGCUAGGGGAGCAAACAGG
rnacentral:rRNA from 1 species